rnacentral:rRNA from 1 species
ACACAUGCAGUGAGCGCGCUUCGGGUGAGCGGCGGACGGGUUAGUAACGCGUGGGAACGUGCCCUUCUCUACGGAAUAGCCUCUGGAAACGGAGAGUAAUACCGUAUACGCCCUUUGGGGGAAAGAUUUAUCGGAGAAGGAUCGGCCCGCGUUAGAUUAGGUAGUUGGUGGGGUAACGGCCUACCAAGCCUACGAUCUAUAGCUGGUUUUAGAGGAUGAUCAGCAACACUGGGACUGAGACACGGCCCAGACUCCUACGGGAGGCAGCAGUGGGGAAUCUUAGACAAUGGGGGCAACCCUGAUCUAGCCAUGCCGCGUGAGUGAUGAAGGCCUUAGGGUCGUAAAGCUCUUUCGCCUGUGAUGAUAAUGACAGUAGCAGGUAAAGAAACCCCGGCUAACUCCGUGCCAGCAGCCGCGGUAAUACGGAGGGGGUUAGCGUUGUUCGGAAUUACUGGGCGUAAAGCGCGCGUAGGCGGAUUAGAAAGUUGGGGGUGAAAUCCCGGGGCUCAAACCCGGAACUGGCUCCAAAACUGCUAGUCUAGAGUUCGAGAGAGGUGAGUGGAAUUCCGAGUGUAGAGGUGAAAUUCGUAGAUAUUCGGAGGAACACCAGUGGCGAAGGCGGCUCACUGGCUCGAUACUGACGCUGAGGUGCGAAAGUGUGGGGAGCAAACAGGAUUAGAUAACCUGGUAG